rnacentral:rRNA from 1 species
GACGAACGCUGGCGGCGUGCUUAACACAUGCAAGUCGAACGGAAAGGCCCUGCUUUUGUGGGGUGCUCGAGUGGCGAACGGGUGAGUAACACGUGAGUAACCUGCCCUUGACUUUGGGAUAACUUCAGGAAACUGGGGCUAAUACCGGAUAGGAGCUCCUGCUGCAUGGUGGGGGUUGGAAAGUUUCGGCGGUUGGGGAUGGACUCGCGGCUUAUCAGCUUGUUGGUGGGGUAGUGGCUUACCAAGGCUUUGACGGGUAGCCGGCCUGAGAGGGUGACCGGCAACAUUGGGACUGAGAUACGGCCCAGACUCCUACGGGAGGCAGCAGUGGGGAAUAUUGCACAAUGGGAGGAAGCCUGAUGCAGCAACGCCGCGUGCGGGAUGACGGACUUCGGGUUGUAAACCGCUUUCGCCUGUGACGAAGCGUGAGUGACGGUAAUGGGUAAAGAAGCACCGGCUAACUACGUG